rnacentral:rRNA from 1 species
UACGUAGGGGGCAAGCGUUGUCCGGAAUCAUUGGGCGUAAAGAGCGUGUAGGCGGUCCGGUCAGUCGGUUGUGAAAGUCAAGGGCUCAACCCUUGAAUGCCGGCCGAUACUGCCGGGCUAGAAUCCGGAAGAGGCGAGUGGAAUUCCUGGUGUAGCGGUGGAAUGCGCAGAUAUCAGGAGGAACACCAAUAGCGAAGGCAGCUCGCUGGGACGGUAUUGACGCUAAGGCGCGAAAGCGUGGGGAGCAAACAGG